rnacentral:lncRNA from 1 species
GAGAAAGCUUUGAAGCUUUAAUAUGCUGCAUUGCUAUUUUAUGCUCUGCUCCAAAUGAAGGCCUGCAGCUCACUUUCCUUUUGGGCUGAUGGAUGCAUGAGAGCUGGAACGUUGCAGGCCUUGAUAUGUUGCUUUUUCUGCCUUCUUCAAAACUGGACGUUGCUAGUGUGAAGGUUGUGGACUGAGGCUGCUGCAAUGUGGGAGCAAGGAGGUGGCGUGCUGCUGUUGCCAACUGGGCCGUGGAGAUGUGUUGCAAGUCUGGACUGCUGCAGCGUUGCUGUAGUGUGGUCCGUGAAGGUGUGGAGCUGUUACGUGAAAAGGUGCUCCAAGGCUGCUGGACACUUGCUUAGGGUACUGCUGCAUGCGUGGAGUUGAAGGAUGCUGGACGACCAAACCCAAGUGCAUAGACCGUGGAUGCUGCAGGUGGGCAGUGAGUGUUGCUAUUGGGCGCACCUCCCUUCAAGUGGGCCUGCUGCCAUGGUGGACUCUGCUGCACCGUGGAGACCACAAAGAAAUCAAGCUACACCUCCUUUUGAAUGCUUCCCAUGCUGGACCGAGCUCAAGAUGAUGGACCGAAUGAGGAUGUUGACGAGCUUGGGUGGCAGCUGCUGGAAGUGUUUGUUGGAUGCGUG